CCCUUAGAUGUCCGGGGCCGCACGCGCGCUACACUGAAGGAAUCAGCGUGGCUUUCUCCCUGACCCGAAAGGGUUGGGAAACCCGUUGAAUCUCCUUCGUGAUAGGGAUUGGGGCUUGAAAUUGUUCCCCAUGAACGAGGAAUUCCCAGUAAGCGCGAGUCAUAAGCUCGCGUUGAUUACGUCCCUGCCCUUUGUACACACCGCCCGUCGCUACUACCGAUUGAACGGUUUAGUGAGGGCCUCGGAUUGGUCUCGGCCCGCUCUUUACCGGGCGGCACCGUUGGUCGAGAAGACGCUCGAACUUGAUCGUUUAGAGGAAGUAAAAGUCGUAACA
rnacentral:rRNA from 1 species